rfam:Pteropus alecto contig42783, whole genome shotgun sequence.
GUGUUCCGACCUGAGACCUCUGGGUUCUGAGCUGUGACAUUGCUUCUGAGCUGGGAUGUCUGGGGUCUUGGUUCAGAGUCA